rnacentral:rRNA from 1 species
AGAGUUUGAUCCUGGCUCAGGACGAACGCUGGCGGCGUGCCUAACACAUGCAAGUCGAGCGAUGAAAUCCUUCGGGAUGGAUUAGCGGCGGACGGGUGAGUAACACGUGGGUAACCUACCUCAAAGAGGGGGAUAGCCUCCCGAAAGGGAGAUUAAUACCGCAUAACAUUAGUUUUUCGCAUGAAGAACUAAUUAAAGGAGUAAUCCGCUUUGAGAUGGACCCGCGGCGCAUUAGCUAGUUGGUGAGGUAAAGGCUCACCAAGGCGACGAUGCGUAGCCGACCUGAGAGGGUGAUCGGCCACAUUGGAACUGAGAUACGGUCCAGACUCCUACGGGAGGCAGCAGUGGGGAAUAUUGCACAAUGGGCGAAAGCCUGAUGCAGCAACGCCGCGUGAGUGAUGAAGGCCUUCGGGUUGUAAAGCUCUGUCUUUGGGGACGAUAAUGACGGUACCCAAGAGA